GUCCUUUUUUAUUCUGAAUAGUGUUUUGUGUUUAUUGUGGGUUUGUGUGUUUUUUCUUGAGCUUCAUAGAGACUUUGUUUCAAGGAUUUUACUAAUGUUUCCUUUCUUUCAAUUUCCAUAGGAUUAUUUGUCAUUUUGUCCUCCAUCUUCUUCAGAUAAAUACUACCACCAUUUAUUAUCAGCUUCAGUUCUAAUACAAGAAGGCACCAGGAGAGAACCAUUUCAGGACAAGAAAGGGCCAAGAACAGCCUGGUGUUCUUUGACUAUGGAAAGAAAGUGACUACGGAAUCAGCCACUGGAUUGCAAAUGUGUCGUACCCAUGCAGAAGAGGAUUAAUAAAAUAAUUAAUUUUUUUAUGUAGUUCAGUUCAAUGUAUUUAUUUGAAAAUAAGAUUAAAUAAUCUUUUGAUGCAGACAGUUUCAUUGGUAUUUAUUCAUUCAUCCAGUGUGAGCA
rnacentral:lncRNA from 1 species